GUAAUUGCCCUGGUAGCACAUAUAAUGAAACUGGGAUACAAAGAAGAUCAGCAUGGCCCCUGUGCAAGGAUGACAGGAAAACUGGUGCAGUGUUCCGUGUUUUA